GUCUCUUCGAAAGCAUCCGAUAAAAUUGAAAUGAUACAGAGAAGAUUAGCAUGGCACUUGCACAAGGUGACAAAUCUUUAGUAGUAAAAACUAUUU
rnacentral:snRNA from 1 species